GGCAUGGCUGAUAUUUUUCUGGGCAAGAGCUGUAAUCCAUGGUGUGGAAAAUGACAUUGCUGAAGAUCGACUUCAAUAUUGGAUCAGCCGCACUGGCCGGCCGACGUUGCAAGAUGCUGUCACUGCCAGACGAGAUAUGUUGCAGCUGAGGGAGUUGGAGAUAGAGCUACAGCAGUAAAAAGAAUCUCAGAAAUCUUUAUAAUAACUUACUGUUGGUUUUUAAAAUAAACCAUACUUCAAAUCUUUCGGCAUUGUUUUGCAACCUUUUUUUAUAGUAAUUUUCAUGAUCUUUUGAUAGUUACUGAAAUAUCAUGGUUCAAUCA